rnacentral:misc_RNA from 1 species
UCUCCGUAGGUGAACCUGCGGAGGGAUCAUUACAGAGUUCAUGCCCUACCGGGUAGAUCUCCCACCCUAUGUUAUUAUUACUUUGUUGCUUUGGCGGGCCGUUAGGCUCCGGCCCGACUACCGGCCCCGGCUGGUAAGCGCCCGCCAGAGGACCCAAAACCCUGAAUAUUAGUGUCGUCUGAGUACUAUAUAAUAGUUAAAACUUUCAACAACGGAUCUCUUGGUUCCC